CAGUCGCCGCGGUAAUACAGAGGGUGCGAGCGUUAAUCGGAUUUACUGGGCGUAAAGCGUGCGUAGGCGGCUUCUUAAGUCGGAUGUGAAAUCCCUGAGCUUAACUUAGGAAUUGCAUUCGAUUCUGGGAAGCUAGAGUAUGGGAGAGGAUGGUAGAAUUCCAGGUGUAGCGGUGAAAUGCGUAGAGAUCUGGAGGAAUACCGAUGGCGAAGGCAGCCAUCUGGCCUAAUACUGACGCUGAGGUACGAAAGCAUGGGGAGCAAACAGGAUUAGAUACCCCGGUAGUCCCUGUCUCUUAUAC
rnacentral:rRNA from 1 species